rnacentral:pre_miRNA from 1 species
CUUGGGGGGGGGGGCCUUCAGCCCAGAUUGUGAGAGGGUUCAGGCCAGGCCGAGGGACCCCACCAAUGCACA